CUUGGCCGGAUAUAGCUUUUGCUAUUGGCAAGCUCAGUAGGUAUAUUAGUAAUCCUAGUAUGUUGCAUUGGCAAGCAUUGAGAAGAGUGUUAAGGUAUUUGAAUAAAACCUUGGAUUAUGUCAUAACUUACAAAAGAGAACCUUCUAUCUUCGAAGGUUAAUUACUCGGAUGCUAGUUGGAUUUCCAAUAAGGAAGAUUAUUCAUCCAAUAGUGGUUGGGUGUUUCUUCUUGGAGGAGGUGCUAUUUCAUGGGCAUCCAAGAAGCAAACAUGUAUAACGGAUUCCACUAUGCCAUUGAAAUUCAUUGCUUUGGCAUCUUGAAGAAGCGGAAUGGCUAAGGAAUGUGUUGAGUGAGGUUCACUUAUGGGUCAAACCUAUGUCACCUCUUGCUAUUCAUUGUGAUAGUGCAUCAACCAUAGCUAAAGCUUAUAGCGAAGUCUACAAUGGUAAGUCAAGACACAUUGGAGUUAGACAUAACUAUGUGCAGGAAAUGAUAAGGAAUAGUUGUAUAACUAUUAAUUUUGUUUGGUCUAGUUUGAACUUGGCGAAUACGUUUACUAAAUCGUUGUCAAGGGAACUAGUGAACAAAAUGAAUAAAGGGAUGGUUCUUAAGCCUAUUAAACAACCUAUGGUGAAGGAAAACUCUAUUUGAUGUCUAAUACAACGUUAGAUCUCAAAUUCAAAGAGGAUAGUACUUCUCUAGAAGGUUGGGAGCACUUGUUUAAUACAUCCCGAGGAGCAUGUUCGUAAAGAUUUACCUAUAUACGCUAGAGGUUUGGCCGCUUCACCAAGUCUAAGGCUUGACUUAGAACGCUUAUGAAUGGAUAUGGACACCAAGGCUUCAUAGGUGUCGGAGGCUAAAGAACCUAGUUUAUGUUUAUGUGUAUUAGUAUUUUCAAUAAUUUGUAAUGGUUAUAUGAUUCAAAGCUUUGUCUAUCAUUAUAAUCGAAAUUAUUGUAAAGUUACUUUUACUAAAUGGAAAUUCAAUCGUAAGAUAUUUCCAUGAUGCAUGAACAUGGUUGUUUGA